rnacentral:rRNA from 1 species
GAUGAACGCUGGCGGCGUGCCUAAUACAUGCAAGUCGAGCGAACGGACGAGACGCUUGCUUUUCUGAUGUUAGCGGCGGACGGGUGAGUAACACGUGUAUAACCUACCUAUAAGACUGGGAUCACUUCGGGAAACCGGCGCUAAUACCGUAUAAUAUUUUGAACCGCAUGGUUCAAAAGUGAAAGACGGUCUUGCUGUCACUUCUAGAUGGAUCCGCGCUGCAUUAGCUAGUUGGUAAGGUAACGGCUUACCAAGGCAACGAUGCAUAGCCGACGUGAGAGGGGGAUCGGCCACACUGGAACUGAGACAGGGUCCAGACUACUAAGGGAGGCAGCAGUAGGGAAUGUUACGCAAUGGGCGAAAGCAUGACGGAGCAACGCCGAGUGAGUGAUGAAGGUCUUCGGAUCGUAAAACUCGGUUAUGAGGGAAGAACAGAUGUGUAAGGAAAUGUGCACAGAGUGACGGUAACUAAUCAGAAAGCCACGGCUAACUACGUG